rnacentral:sRNA from 1 species
UAGUCCAUGGCUUAGGUCCUGCAUAAUGUAAAAUGAAAUAAGAAAAGUAAGGGCUUUGAUGCUCAAAAUAUGUACAAAAAUUCCAUCUCAUCGAUAAGGGAUAAAGAUAAUUCUGAAAUGCAACAUUUAAUAAAUCUUGGUCAGGAAAAGAAAAGUCACAUUUUGAAUUUUUUAAAGUUUCUAAAAGAAUAUUAUUAUAUUGCUUUUCUCGCAUAUUUUUUAAAUUUAAAAAUACUAUACCACUAUUUUUAUAAGAAUGAGCCACAUUCCUUUUACAUUCUUCUUGUACUUUAUGAAUACAGUAUGUAAUAGCUGUAUCUAGACUACAUG